rnacentral:rRNA from 1 species
GACGAACGCUGGCGGCGUGCUUAACACAUGCAAGUCGAACGGAAAGGCCCUGCUUUUGUGGGGUGCUCGAGUGGCGAACGGGUGAGUAACACGUGAGUAACCUGCCCUUGACUUUGGGAUAACUUCAGGAAACUGGGGCUAAUACCGGAUAGGAGCUCCUGCUGCAUGGUGGGGGUUGGAAAGUUUCGGCGGUUGGGGAUGGACUCGCGGCUUAUCAGCUUGUUGGUGGGGUAGUGGCUUACCAAGGCUUUGACGGGUAGCCGGCCUGAGAGGGUGACCGGCCACAUUGGGACUAAGAUACGGCCCAGACGCCUACGGGAGGCAGCAGUGGGGAAUAUUGCACAAUGGGCGGAAGCCUGAGGCAGCAGCGCCGCGUGCGGAAUGACGGCCUUCGGGUUGUAAACCGCUUUCGCCUGUGACGAAGCGUGAGUGACGGUAAUGGGUAAAGAAGCACCGGCUAACUACGUG